GAGAGAGAGGAUCCCAAGUAGGCUCCACACUCAGUGCAGAGCCCAAUGUGGGGCUUGAACUCACGAACCAUGAGCCAACAUCAAGAGUUGGACACUUAACUGACGGAGCCACGCAGGCACCCCAGAUUGUCUAUAGCUUUAAAUGGCCGUAGGGUCGCCAGUCCCCACAGAAAGACAACCUGAGCACCUGAGAGCUUUCACCUCACUGGUCACUCUUUGAGGACUGUCCCUUGCUUUCUUCUUGGGAAGCUGUGGCAAUCUUGCCCUGAAUGUAUUUUCCCCCAUUUUCACAGGAGGUAAACGUGGCGUGCAAAAUGCAUUUUUAACGACUGAGAGCUGCAUUCGAAAGUAUUUUCCAUCUUUGCUGGGUCAUUAAGUCUUUAAAUCCUUCAAUAUUUUAAUGACUUUUGUAGUGCAGUGAUGUGUAGGUUUGUUCAAAUUUUCAUUGUCUCCAUGCUCCCUUGCCCAUAAGAUAUUCCAGUAAGAGCCCAUCAAAGGCUUAUUGAACACACGGCACUGUUCUGAAUGGGUCCUUUCUGGGCAGCCUGUCUCCUGCACUGGCAAUGAUUAGAGCAGAGGCACAUCGUACCCAGGCUUGGGUUCUAAAGACCGUGAGGAUGGUCCAAACGACCCUUGGAAAUCCUGUCAGAAGUUGCCGUCUUAGAGACCAUGCCACCAUUUCUCACUAAGUCCGGCAGGCCCAGCUUUCCCUCCAGUGUUGGAACAGAAUAACGUCACUUCAGCGCAGCCCCAAGUGAAGGGUAGCCUGGGUCCAGGGCUGUGCUAGCUAGUUCUUACACAAAGAGAAGAAGGCAGGAACCAAGGUCUCUUGGGAACAGCAGACUCCUAUCCAUUCAUUGAAUGGAAUUGCAAGCAGAAUUCUGUCUCAUUUAAAUAGCACUCUCCCUCUCCCUCUCUCUGUUAAUUUUAGUUUUGCUGAACACAUUUACAACAUGGCUCAGUACGAUAUGGCAGAGCAUUGGCCUAGGAUCCAGGAUACCCAGGCUGCAAAGUCAGUUCAUCCACAAACAUUUUGGAGAAUACUAAGGCCAAGGGACUUAAGGGGCCAUAGACUUUUAUUAGACUUUUAUUUUUUACAAUUUUUAAAGUUUACUUAUUUUGAGAGAGAGAAAGAGAGAAGCAGGGAGGGGCAGGAAAGAGGAUAGAGAGAGAAUCCCAAACAGGCUCUACACUGUCAACAUAGAGCCUGACCCGGGGCUUGAACUCAUGACCUGAGCCAAAAUCGAGAGUCAGAUGCUCCACCGACUGAGCCACCCAGGUGCCCCAAGGGGCCAUUGACUCUUAAAGCAAAAAGAAGUCCUUACUUUCUCUCGGGUUCAGUUUCUUCACCUGUAAGAUGCGUGUUCGGGGAUCGGAAGAUCUCGAGUCUCCCUUGGUAAAUGCAAGUUCAGGCUCUCAGCUGAGGAAGAUUGGCCAUCUAGGACAGCCUUAAUAACCCAGUGUUCUAGAAAAGCGCCAGCCCUUUCCCCACUCUGCCUGGGAGCGCCAUAAGACCGAGUUGGGUAAAAGGAAGAACAAAGAUGAGCAGUGGGUUCUGGAAGAGAAGGCCUGCUUCAGUUCAGCAAAUCUUACUUUAGCACCUGGGAAAGACAAGCCAGGGUGCUCCGCAUCAGCAAGAAUCCAGGAGAGCUGAACGUCUGGAUGAAUUCGCUGAAGGAAAAGUCGCUGGGCACCCAGAAGGGAACUCAGCCUAAAUCCGCCUCCUUUGACUCCGCCUCCAGCUCUUCUGGCGCUGGCGCUCAUCAGCUCACUGGCUACACAAGGGUUUUCAUGUGGCGAGAUGCAUGCCCCGUGGCCUUGUGCACCAGCCUGCCUCAGCAUUCUCUGCUUGGCUUCCUGCAUCUUGUGCCGCGCGCCGCUGCUGCUGACAUCGGCAGAGAGUUCCAGAAGGUUGGGUCUGUGGAGCAUUCAGUGCUGUGCUCGCCACAGAGCCAGUUUUAGGUAGUUUAUUUUGAGUCACGCUGGGACCUCAACAUACCUAUUUUGUUAUUCCUUAGGUAUGCUUGUUACAAUGAUGGUAGAAUGUCUCAACUAAACCUUAACCUGUGGCCUCACCCACAGAGAAGGCGUGUUUUUAUGUCAAGUUUCUAUACACAUGCAGCACAUGGGUGUGUUACGGAGCUUUCUCUUCUGUUCUGCUGGCCCAGCUGACUGUUCCUGAGCCAGUGCUAUGCUGUUGUUACUAUGGUUUAUCCUGUGUUGCACUGAGCAAGACUCCCUUCUUUGCUUUGUCAAAAAGUUAACUUACUUAUUUCUUGAGCUCCCCCAAAAGAAAUCCAACUGGAAUUUUGAGCGGGAUUGCAGUGACUUUGUAGGUUAAUCAUUAAUGUAAUUAGGUCUUUAUAGAGUCAUCCAAGAUAGGUCACCCUAUAUUAGGUCACCUAGUCCAAAAGCAUGGAACGUACUCUUUAUUCAGAUCAUUUCGUUUUAUUAAAAUUUCAAAAACCUGUAUGGAAGUUUUGCGUACUCUUGAUUAAUACCUAGAUGUUUUGUAGUUCUUGUUGCUAUUGUAAAGGGUAUCUUUUUAGUAGUAUCUUCUAGUAGCUAUUGUGAGCGAAGAGAGACGCUGCUGAGUUGUGCAGGUUGAUCUCGUACCUGGCAAACUUCCUAAACCUUAUUAGUUUCUGAUUUGUUCGAGUCUUUGUUUUUUCUAAGUUGACACUGUUUCUUCAUUGCUGCAGGAAGAAACCUCCCCCAUUUAAUUUCUGUGGCAGGUAGCGGUGGUAAUUAAAGGGGCCGACUCACUGGGGAGCAGUGGAAAGUGUUUCCUCCUCCCCCCACUACAGGAAGAGGGUGUCUCUGAUGCUGACAUCUGGGUUCUCCGAAGCUUCAGAGUCUUGCCUCCACCCCCCCCCCCCCCACACACACACCCCUGCUUGUAAUGGGAGAGAAGGAGGCCUAAAGUUCCCUGGCAACAAGGAAAGGGGACGGGAGGGAUUGUCACCCAAAAGUGAGAGGGAGAGAUUUAGGAGGAAGAAGACAGAGAAAAGGGAAAGACUCUUUUGAGGGGGACUUUGACAGGCUGGAGGCUCAGUCUGGGAGCCUGGGAAGUAUCAGACAAUAGAUGGUAAAAAAAAAAAAAAAAAAAAGUCUCUGGUUCCAGAAGAGUAGCUGGACCAGAGACCCACCAUCUAGCAGUUUCACCAAAAAUGCCCUGGAGGCGGCAGGGGCGGGUGUUGGUCACCUAAUGUGGGGGUGAGGAGAUCAAGCAGCUGGAGAUAGGCGGGCACCUCCAAACCCCUCCCGCCUCCAGCCAUGCUGACUGACUGAUAGAGGCCCUGCCCUGUGACUGCUAUCCCCAUGCGCUGCUAUGGCCCAAAUACCCAAAGCCACAGGGCCUAGGAACUUCCCAGGGUCUGAACUCUGUACUUCCCCAGAGGUCCUGCAAGUCAGCCGGAUCCACAAUGCACGGCCACGUUGAGAACCCUACACUUGGUUCUGAAAAGAAGUUUCCUGAGGGGAGGUCAGGAGUUGAGAAGGUUUUAACUAGGCAGCUUGUCUGCCUCGUUUAACGAGGAACCGUAGCGGAAUUAUUAAGGUUGCUUUGGUUUGAAAACCUCUCGGCGCAUCUGAGAGAGGGCACAACAGGGCUGCCCUCUGCCCUGCACAGUAUUUGACAGGACUGCUGGGGGCCAGGAUGGGGUGGCCUUUGCCUUUGCCUUUUUUGCUGUUUUACUGACUUUCAUGAAUUCAGCAACCCAGGUUCCCAGAGCUCUGAAUGUAUGAAUACUGUCCUUGGAGAAUCUGCUGCCUUUAACAGAUGGGAGGAGCAGAGGCAUCCAGGAAGUCUGUUCCUGUGGAGAAGCAGACAGAUGCCUUCAAAUCCAACUCAGACGCCAGACCCCUUGGGUCUCGGGGGCAGACAGGCCUGGCUGUGUUUGUAAGCAAGUCAUGAAGAAGGCAAAGUGUGUUUUGUGAAUUUAUAACCUCAACACAGAGGAGGCUAUUCUGGAGGAAAGAGGCCAGGAAAAGGAGAGAUGGUAAGCCUGGUGAGGUAGCAAAUGCCCUGACCUGUCAAGGUGCUUCUGAGAGCUGAAGGGCCAGGCCAGACCCAGGGGGUCCCCGAAAGCCUGAGUGAGACGGAUGUUUCUGGGUGUGCUCCUCACUUCCUGUUGCAGCCUGUCUCCACACGCUGAGUGGCGGCGAAGCAACGGCUGGCAGUGACUCAGCUUUAUAAAUAGGACAUCCACAGCGAAGAUUAUAGGAAAUUCCCAGUCUUCUGCCUGGCCUUAUUUUAGGUGUGCAGCUCAUAUGAGCAAAGUCCCAGCCACCCUCCUCCGGCCUUCCUCCAUACCGCCCCCUGGGGCAUUUGAGGCCCAUCUCCUCUGCUUUGUGACUGGAAAUCUCCCCAGGGGAGGUGUGAGCGGCACAAGGAAUGGAGGUGUCCACCUCUGGCCUUGUUCAGACCCUCCUGGGGGAGAACAGCUCAUGCUUGUCUCGCAACCCCCGUGGGCCAAGGGCUCCUAACCUGCGUUGUCUCACUGACUUUCACUUUCUCCCAGGGGGAACUCGCAUUAUUAUUCCGAGGUGGUAGAUAAAGAAACCGGACUCCAGACCCAUAUCUGACUAAUUCUGGAUCUCCAGGAUUAACGACAGAUGCAAACUCUCCUAAACACAAAAUAAGAGGGCAAAGGGACGAUAGUGAAAAAGGGGGAGCUGUUUUCUGGAGAGAAAAAUAGGAGACGGGUGCCAGUUCCCUGGCCCUCGGGUGAUCCUGCUUUUUCCUUCUUUCCCCCAGUGACGCCUUCCUUGGCAGUGAGCUGUUUCUGGAAAGCCAGGCUUGAGCACUGAGGGGCUCAACAGCCCCUGCUGUAGCUGGGUUUGAAGACUCUGAGAGGGCUGUCUACACCGAGGAAGGAAGCUCUGCUACUGGCAGGGGUCACCAGGAUGCGGUACCGUUGUUUCCAACUUUUUGUUUUAAAAAAGAUCCAACUACAGAGAAGACUACAGAAUAAUUCAAUGAACACCCAGCUCUUCUUCACCCGAGUUCACCAACUGUUAGCAAUUUAGCCACCUGUGUGCUCUCUAUAUGCAUGUACACAUUCUUUUCCUGAACCAUUUGCAAAUAAGUUGUUGAGGGUGCCUGGGUGGCUCAGUUGGUCAAGUGUCCAGCUCUUGGUUUUGGCUCAGGUCAUGAUCUCACAGAUCUCACAUGAUCUCACAGACACAGCCUGUGUCAGGCUCUGCGCUAACAGCUCAGAGUCUGCUUGGCAUUCUCUCUUUCUCCCUCUGCCCCUCCCCUGUGCUCUCACUCUCUAAAUAAAUAAAUAAACCUUUAAAAAAAGAAAAGAAGUUGUUGAUAUCAUGACACUUCUGUCCUAGGUAUUUCAUUGUGUCUCUGCUAAGAACUUGAACACUUUCCUAAAUAAUUACAAUACCAUGCUUGCAUUCGAGAAAUGUAACAAUGACAUAAUAUUAUCUAAUAUAUAUCUGUAUUCCAUUUUUUCCAAGGGAAAUGUGAAUAUGGAUAUGUGUUGGGUAAUAUAGUUUUUUUUCCUUUUUCAAUUCAAGAUCCAAUCAAGGUGACAAAUUGUAUUUAGUUGUCCUGUUUAGUCCCUUGUAGUUUAAAUUUUUUUAAUGUUUAUUUUGACAGAGAGAGAGAGAGAGAGAGAGAGAGAGAGAGAGAGAGAAAGUGGGGAAGGGGCAGAGAGAGAGGG